AGUGAACGCUGGCGGUAGGCCUAACACAUGCAAGUCGAACGGCAGCACAGUAAGAGCUUGCUCUUACGGGUGGCGAGUGGCGGACGGGUGAGGAAUACAUCGGAACCUACUUUUUCGUGGGGGAUAACGUAGGGAAACUUACGCUAAUACCGCAUACGACCUACGGGUGAAAGCAGGGGAUCUUCGGACCUUGCGCGAUUGAAUGAGCCGAUGUCGGAUUAGCUAGUUGGCGGGGUAAAGGCCCACCAAGGCGACGAUCCGUAGCUGGUCUGAGAGGAUGAUCAGCCACACUGGAACUGAGACACGGUCCAGACUCCUACGGGAGGCAGCAGUGGGGAAUAUUGGACAAUGGGCGCAAGCCUGAUCCAGCCAUGCCGCGUGGGUGAAGAAGGUCUUCGGGUUGUAAAGCCCUUUUGUUGGGAAAGAAAAGCAGCAGGUUAAUACCCCGCUGUUCUGACGGUACCCAAAGAAUAAGCACCGGCUAACUUCGUG
rnacentral:rRNA from 1 species